CCCAGUUGUUGUAACAAGUUUGGAACAAGCUGUUAACAACUUGUAAGAAGCUUAAUGGCAUUAUCAGUCUUGCUACAAGAAUGUUACAAGAUUGACGACACCAGGUUGUAACAAUAUUGUUCUAUCAUGACUGUAUCAGACUUGUUGGAACAACCUUGCAACAGCCUAAUAAUAUUAACAAUGUUGUUACAAGUUGUUAACAGCUUGUUCCAAACUUGUUGACAACUUCGGAC